rnacentral:rRNA from 1 species
UACGGGGGGGGCAAGCGUUGUUCGGAAUUACUGGGCGUAAAGGGCUCGUAGGCGGCCAACUAAGUCAGACGUGAAAUCCCCAGGCUCAACCUGGGACUGCGUCUGAUACUGGAUGGCUUGAAUCCGGGAGAGGGAUGCAGAAUUCCAGGUGUAGCGGUGAAAUGCGUAGAUAUCGGGAGGAACACCAGUGGCGAAGGCGGCUGCCUGGGCCAGUUCUGACGCUGAGGCGCGAAAGCGUGGGGAGCAAACAGGG